ACACAUAAGCAUCAAAAUCUAUUCAUGAAUUUAUCUUAUGUUGCUUUAAAAUAAGUGUAGCUUACCUAGAUAAUAUAUUACCCAAAUUUUGGAUUCAUUCGAGCUAGGAAAGAGGAAUCAUGGAUGGCUAUAAUUUCAUCUUAUUUCAUUCCUAAAAAAGAAAUUAUAUAAUUAAAUAUUUUAGCUAUCAUUUAUCUUAGCCG
rnacentral:lncRNA from 1 species